rnacentral:rRNA from 1 species
GAUGAACGCUGGCGGCGUGCCUAAUACAUGCAAGUCGAGCGAACAGACGAGGAGCUUGCUCCUCUGACGUUAGCGGCGGACGGGUGAGUAACACGUGGAUAACCUACCUAUAGGACUGGGAUAACUUCGGGAAAUCGGAGCUAAUACCGGAUAAUAUAUUGAACCGCAUGGUUCAAUAGUGAAAGACGGUUUUGCUGUCACUUAUAGAUGGAUCCGCGCCGCAUUAGCUAGUUGGUAAGGUAACGGCUUACCAAGGCAACGAUGCGUAGCCGACCUGAGAGGGUGAUCGGCCACACUGGAACUGAGACACGGUCCAGACUCCUACGGGAGGCAGCAGUAGGGAAUCUUCCGCAAUGGGCGAAAGCCUGACGGAGCAACGCCGCGUGAGUGAUGAAGGUCUUCGGAUCGUAAAACUCUGUUAUUAGGGAAGAACAAAUGUGUAAGUAACUAUGCACGUCUUGACGGUACCUAAUCAGAAAGCCACGGCUAACUACGUG